AAGAUCCCGUGUGCCGCAACUAAGACCCGACACAGCCAAAAUAAAUGAAUAAAUAUUAAAAAAAAUUUUUUAAAUGCCUUGAAAACACUUACUUAUAAUAUUACCCAGUUGGAACAGUGAAAAGAAUUACUCUUGGUGGAAGAAGAAAUAAAGAGGCACCAAAGCUGCCCCAGAUCCAGACAUCAUCGUGAGUUUGUUUGAUUUGAGGAACGCAAAGACCAGUGUGGUUCGAGCAGAAGGAGCCAGGGGAAAAGUGGGAGGAAACGAAGGCAGGGAGUUGAGUUUUGAGGGACUUCCCUGGUGGCACAGUGGUUAAGAAUCUGC